rnacentral:sRNA from 1 species
GCUGGGUGUGGUGGCACAUGCCUUUAAUCCCAGCUACUCAGGAGGCUGAGGCAGGAGGUUCUUGAGUUCAAAGCCAGCCCCAGCAAUUUAGCUAAGCUGUCUUUAAGCAACUUAGUGAGACCCUGUCUCAA